rnacentral:rRNA from 1 species
AACCUCCGCAAUGUGAGAAAUCGCGACGGGGGGAUCCCAAGUGCCAUUCUUAACGGGAUGGCUUUUCAUUAGUGUAAAGAGCUUUUGGAAUAAGGGCUGGGCAAGACCGGUGCCAGCCGCCGCGGUAACACCGGCAGCUCUAGUGGUAGCAGUUUUUAUUGGGCCUAAAGCGUCCGUAGCCGGUUUAAUAAGUCUCUGGUGAAAUCCUGUAGCUUAACUGUGGGAAUUGCUGGAGAUACUAUUAGACUUGAGACCGGGAGAGGUUAGAGGUACUCCCAGGGUAGAGGUGAAAUUCUGUAAUCCUGGGAGGACCGCCUGUUGCGAAGGCGUCUAACUGGAACGGUUCUGACGGUGAGGGACGAAAGUUAGGGCGCGAACCGGAUUAGAUACCCGGGUAGUCCUAACUGUAAACGAUGCGGACUUGGUGUUGGGGUGGCUUUGAGCUGCUCCAGUGCCGAAGGGAAGCUGUUAAGUCCGCCGCCUGGGAAGUACGGUCGCAAGACUGAAACUUAAAGGAAUU